GGUUGAUCCUGCCAGUAGUCAUAUGCUUGUCUCAAAGAUUAAGCCAUGCAUGUCUAAGUAUAAGCAAUCUAUACAGUGAAACUGCGAAUGGCUCAUUAAAUCAGUUAUCGUUUAUUUGAUAGUACAUUUACUACUUGGAUAACCGUGGUAAUUCUAGAGCUAAUACAUGCCAAAAAUCCUUGCCCCUGGUGAGGAUGUAUUUAUUAGAUAAAAAACCAAUGUCUUCGGACUCCUUGGUGAUUCAUAAUAACUUUUCGAAUCGCAUGGCCUUGCGCUGGCGAUGGUUCAUUCAA
rnacentral:rRNA from 1 species